AGAGACACUCCCAUCAGCAGCUCUUCAUUUAAUCUGUGUGAGACUGUGGCUCAGUUUCUGUGCAACAAAAGAUGGAAGUCAUCAUCAUUAAACAGGUUCUCUUCACAUUGGCAGUCUUCUUGCUGUGGGAAUUGGGUCACGUUGAUGGGAGUGAUGUUACCCAGACCCCCAUACUGUGGAAAUAUCAGGGUGACAGUGCAACAAUGAGCUGCAACCAUACAAAGGGUGAUCUCUAUUUCCAGAUGUACUGGUACAGACAGCUGCCUGGAGAGACAAUGAAACUAAUUGUGUUCACAACAACGGGAAAAAAAGAUGAUGAUCAAGACUUUGGAGAGUUCAGUAAAGAAAAAUUCUCAGUCACCAAGCCAACUGCUGAUAAAGGGACAUUCACAGUAAAGAACCUGAAGCCAGAAGACAAAGGAUGGUAUUUCUGUGCUGUGAGCCAACACAGUGAUACAGACGAAGCAGAGAGCUGAACAAAAACCUC